GUCCAGCACACCCUAAAAAGUCUGCUUGACCAUACAUUUUCUGUUUUUCGAAUAGCGAUUAGCAGAACCUCUACUGUUAGUGAGAUCACGAGAAAAUAGUCGGAAUGCUUUAGUUAAAUAUCAUGUUUAAAUAUGUAAACAUGUCGACGUUGAUAUACAGCCAUAUUUUCAAAUAUACUGUACUGUGCUACAUUAACUGUUCAGUCACGCAUACGUGAUAAAAAGCCGAUAUAAACUUUAUAAACAAAAGAUAAUGUGAAACGUAACAGAUCGGCGAACAUGCAGAUUCGGCCAUCUCAAAUAAUAGUAAUGUUGGGAUAGUAGCGUUGCAGACUGCAGAAGAGAGUGUGCAGUAAGGCUCCCUCAUGCACCACCUCAUGGAACACCUGCACCCCUCCAUUGCAGAUAAGGCUAAAGAUCCACCCCUGUGAAGUUAGCUU